rnacentral:lncRNA from 1 species
GUAUUUAUUACUUUUUUGGAUAAAUUGACAUUAAAAAUAUCAUAUUAUAUGAAUCUUAAUAUAAAAAAUUAUAUUACAAAGUAAAAAUACAGAAUUAAAAAGUGAAAGUACAUAUUAAAGAUUGAUCAAUAGAACUCUUGUACUUUAAACACACGAAUUGAAACCAAACUGUGUAUACGAUUUAGCUUUAGUCAAUUGGAUCAAAUUGGUUUUCUGGAUACGGGCCGAGUGGUGCAAAUGAGGCCCAGUUAGCUUCACGAUCAUCUGCUAUGCGUUUUGACGAUCACACUCUUGUGUGAUUCUUAGGUCACGAGAAAGUAAGAGAUUCCCUCUACAACUGCUACCGUGCGUCUUUCUUCCUCUCAAACUUAAAACCUGCAAAAGUACCAAACUAUUAGCAACAAGAUCUGAGAAAUACACAUAGAUCCAAGCUUAAUCUGACCUUAAUAUGCUACACAAACACACAUAAGAACAUCAAUCGAGACUCUCCCAUAUAAACGAAGUCAAAGAAAAUCAAGCGAAGGUAUCAAGCUCUCGUGGGAUUCCAAACUCGAAACUAAUUUGAUACUCGAUUCAAUUAAAGUAUUGGAUAAAAAAAUUUCAGGCCACACAAAGAAGACUUGUUAGCCAAAUUCCCAAUGAAAUGCUAAAUUACAUACAAUUCGACACUGAAUCUCCAAAUCAGCAAAGAGGAAGUGGAGGAGAACUCACGCGAAGGCUCGAACAAAAGAUUUGCCCUUUCCAUCGCCGCAAGCCACUUCUUAAUUCCUUGAUCAGAUCUCUUCUAUCUGCAACAAAUCCCUACUAUUUUAAGAAUCCAGAAAUCUAGAGUGAUAGAGAGAGAAGAUAUGGUGAAAAGAAAC